rnacentral:rRNA from 1 species
GACGAACGCUGGCGGCGUGCCUAAUACAUGCAAGUCGAGCGAAGUUUUUCUGGUGCUUGCACUAGAAAAACUUAGCGGCGAACGGGUGAGUAACACGUAAAGAACCUGCCUCAUAGACUGGGACAACUAUUGGAAACGAUAGCUAAUACCGGAUAACAGUAUUUCUCGCAUGAGAGAUAUUUAAAAGUUGGUUAUGCUAACACUAUGAGAUGGCUUUGCGGUGCAUUAGCUAGUUGGUGGGGUAAAGGCCCACCAAGGCGACGAUGCAUAGCCGACCUGAGGGGGUGAUCGGCCACACUGGGACUGAGACACGGCCCAGACUCCUACGGGAGGCAGCAGUAGGGAAUCUUCCGCAAUGGGCGAAAGCCUGACGGAGCAACGCCGCGUGAGUGAAGAAGGAGUUCGGUUCGUAAAGCUCUGUUGUUAGGGAAGAAUGGAUAUGUAGUAACUAUACAUGUAAGAGACGGUACCUAACCAGAAAGCCACGGCUAACUACGUG